rnacentral:rRNA from 1 species
GACAGAGGUGCCGAGCGUUAGGCGGAAUCACUGGGCUUAAAGCGUGUGUAGGCGGGCGGGCAAGUACCUUGUGAAAUCCCACGGCUCAACCGUGGAACUGCUGGGUAUACUGCCUGUCUUGAGCCAGCCAGGGGCAGUCGGAACAGACGGUGGAGCGGUGAAAUGCGUAGAUAUCCGGCGGAACACCGGUGGUGAAGACGGUCUCCUGGGCCGAGGGCCGACGCUGAGGCGCGAGAGCGUGGGGAGCGAACCGG